rnacentral:rRNA from 1 species
GACGUAGGGCGCGAGCGUUGUCCGGAUUUAUUGGGCGUAAAGAGCUCGUAGGCGGCUUGUUGCGUCGACUGUGAAAACCCGCGGCUUAACUGCGGGCUUGCAGUUGAUACGGGCAGGCUAGAGUUCGGUAGGGGAGAUCGGAAUUCCUGGUGUAGCGGUGAAAUGCGCAGAUAUCAGGAGGAACACCGGUGGCGAAGGCGGAUCUCUGGGCCAUUACUGACGCUGAGGAGCGAAAGCGUGGGGAGCGAACAGG